UACGUAGGUGGCAAGCGUUGUCCGGAUUUACUGGGCGUAAAGAGCGCGCAGGCGGUCGGCCAAGUCGAGUGUGAAAGCCCCCGGCUCAACUGGGGAGGGUCAUUCGAUACUGGUCGACUCGAAGGCAGGAGAGGGAAGCGGAAUUCCCGGUGUAGUGGUGAAAUGCGUAGAUAUCGGGAGGAACACCAGUGGCGAAGGCGGCUUCCUGGCCUGUUCUUGACGCUGAGACGCGAAAGCGUGGGGAGCAAACAGG
rnacentral:rRNA from 1 species